rnacentral:rRNA from 1 species
CCCUUAGAGUUUGAUCCUGGCUCAGAGCUAACGCUGGCGGCGUGCCUAAUACAUGCAAGUCGAACGAGGAAGUCCCUUCGGGGAUUGUACGAGUGGCGCACGGGUGAGGAACACGUAGGUAAACUUCCCUCGAGUGGGGAAUAACCAACCGAAAGGUUGGCUAAUACCGCAUAAGACCACAGUCACUGCGGUGACAGGGGUUAAAGAUUUCGGUCGCUCGAGGAUGUGCCUGCGUCCCAUUAGCUAGUUGGUGAGGUAAAGGCUUACCAAGGCGACGAUGGGUAGCUGGUCUGAGAGGAUGAUCAGCCACACUGGAACUGAGACACGGUCCAGACUCCUACGGGAGGCAGCAGUAGGGAAUAUUGCACAAUGGACGAAAGUCUGAUGCAGCGACGCCGCGUGAGUGAUGAAGGCCUUCGGGUUGUAAAGCUCUGUUCUUAGGGAAUAAGCAAGUGAAUGUACUUAAGAAGAAAGGACCGGCUAACUUCGUGCCAGCGGCCGCGGUAAGACGAGGGGUCCUAGCGUUGCUCGGAAUCAUUGGGCGUAAAGCGGAUGUAGGUGGCUUUGUAAGUCGGAAGUGAAAGCCCUGGGCUUAACCCAGGAAGUGCUUUCGAUACUGCUUAGCUUGAGUGUGGGAGAGGAUAGUAGAAUACCUGGUGUAGUGGUGAAAUACGUAGAUAU